rnacentral:rRNA from 1 species
AAAUGAAUUGACGGGGGCCCGCACAAGCGGUGGAGCAUGUGGUUUAAUUCGAUGCAACGCGAAGAACCUUACCUGGUCUUGACAUCCACGGAAGUUUUCAGAGAUGAGAAUGUGCCUUCGGGAACCGUGAGACAGGUGCUGCAUGGCUGUCGUCAGCUCGUGUUGUGAAAUGUUGGGUUAAGUCCCGCAACGAGCGCAACCCUUAUCCUUUGUUGCCAGCGGUCCGGCCGGGAACUCAAAGGAGACUGCCAGUGAUAAACUGGAGGAAGGUGGGGAUGACGUCAAGUCAUCAUGGCCCUUACGACCAGGGCUACACACGUGCUACAAUGGCGCAUACAAAGAGAAGCGACCUCGCGAGAGCAAGCGGACCUCAUAAAGUGCGUCGUAGUCCGGAUUGGAGUCUGCAACUCGACUCCAUGAAGUCGGAAUCGCUAGUAAUCGUGGAUCAGAAUGCCACGGUGAAUACGUUCCCGGGCCUUGUACACACCGCCCGUCACACCAUGGGAGUGGGUUGCAAAAGAAGUAGGUAGCUUAACCUUCGGGAGGGCGCUUACCACUUUGUGAUUCAUGACUGGGGUGAAGUCGUAACAAGGUAACCGUAGGGGAACCUGCGGUUGGAUCACCUCCUUACCUUAAAGAA